rnacentral:lncRNA from 1 species
UGGUUUUCUUGCUGCUCGAUUAACACAUGGCACAGUUUCUGAUCUAGUUCAGACGGCAAUACUCCCUUGCUCUGGUAUGAAUCAAACCUCUCUCCCACUGGCUCAUGCAAACUUUUGGCUGAAACCUCAGUCUGCAAAAGUAUUUUCGGGUGAGUAGCAAUAUUGUUGUAAUUCUAAGCAGAUGCAACAGAGUUUAUAAAAAGUCAAAGCAGAAAAAAUAUAUAUAUUUAUGUAUAUAUACUCAUUGCAGAGGUAUUUAUAUGUUUCCCAUCUUUCUUAUGCAAUUUUUCUCAUUCAUCAGCUACUAUGUUUCUUUACUCUAACCACACAAAUUGCAUAUUCCGUCUUUAAGGUCUGGCCAAUGUCCACAGUUAUCAAAUUUCCCCAUGUAAAGUGAUGCUAUCACUGCUCAUCUUCAUUCCAUAUGUUUCAGUUCCUCUUGGUAUGGCUUAAUACUAGCAUGCAGAAGUUCCUAUUCAUAUUCGACAAAAUAUCCAAAGUGCUCUACAUUAUGAAGGUUGCUGCAUGCACCGUUAGUCCUGUAGCACAAUUUACUUUUGAAAAUGUUACGUCAGUGAUUGGUCCCAUGAACUAUCAGCUAGUAUUAGCAUCAAGCGGUCAAGCUAUGAGCUAAGAUCCACAAAGAUAUUCCUUUCAACAAGUAAACCUACUAGCUACUCUCUCAUGCACUUUACUCCUCGAUCACUCACACAUACAGUAAAACAGUUAGUGGUUAAAUUUGGUCAGCUAUGGAAUUUCAUUGAUAAGAAUAAUCUGUUAAAGUGGUCUGAAAUUGCAUUUAAAAGAGAAUUGUUGGAUCUAGAGAAAAAACUAUCCCUUUAAGAGUUUAUUCAAAAUCUAAUUUUAGAUAACUCUUGUCCUAAAUAUUUAGUAAAGGUAGAGAUAUGGAUAAACCAGUAAAAAGGAAGCACCUUUAACCAGUAAGUAAUUGAAAUAAAGGAUGUAAAGGUAGUUGAAAAGUUAACCUCACUCAAUUUUUGCAGUUCUAACUCGAGCUCUGCCUCUAGUUGAUCCAUUUCCACAACCUCCAGCUCUGGUUCAGGCUCUUCAGUAAGAACACUACUGGCAUAUUCACCAUCAUCAAAUACUGGGAGGCUGCAGACUUUGGUCUCAUUAUGGUCUCUGUUCCCAG